UACGUAGGGUGCUAGCGUUGUUCGGAAUCAUUGGGCGUAAAGCGCGUGUAGGUGGUUAGGUAAGUUGGAUGUGAAAGCCCUGGGCUUAACUCAGGAAGUGCAUCCAAAACUACUUGGCUGGAGGGCGAGAGAGGGAGGUGGAAUUCCUAGUGUAGAGGUGAAAUUCGUAGAUAUUAGGAGGAAUACCGGCGGCGAAGGCGGCCUCCUGGAUCGUUCCUGACACUGAGACGCGAAAGCGUGGGGAG
rnacentral:rRNA from 1 species